rnacentral:rRNA from 1 species
CUAGGAUUAGAUACCCUAUUAUAAAUUUGAAAAGUUUAGUAGUAAGUGAAAAUCAUGAAACUAAAAUUAAUUGGCGGCUUUUUAAAUAUUUUAGAGAAAUUUAUUCUUUAAAGGAGUCAACCCCAAAAUCUUACUUUUUUUUGUAUUAUUACAUUUCAUAUACCUCUAUUUAUUGGUUAUUAGUUUAAUUAUAAAUUUAGCUUUUUUAGAUAAAUCUUAGGGAAAGGUGUGGAUAAUAGAAAAGAGUGAAAUAAGUUUCAUUAAUUAGUAUUUAAUGAUUUAUUUUUGUAAUAAAAAUAAAAAAUAGAAUUUAAAAGUAAUAUUAGUAUAUUUUGCUAAUUUGAAUUAG